CAGUAGCCACGGGAAUACGAAGGGGGCUAGCGUUGUUCGGAAUUACUGGGCGUAAAGGGCGCGUAGGCGGCCAUUCAAGUUAGAUGUGAAAGCCCUGGGCUCAACCUAGGAAUUGCAUUUGAUACUGUUUGGCUUGAGUGCAGAAGAGGAGAGUGGAAUUCCACGUGUAGCGGUGAAAUGCGUAGAGAUGUGGAGGAACACCAGUGGCGAAGGCGACUCUCUGGUCUGUAACUGACGCUGAGGAGCGAAAGCGUGGGGAGCAAACAGGAUUAGAUACCCCCGUAGUCCCUGUCUCUUAUAC
rnacentral:rRNA from 1 species